CUUUCUUCACAAACGCAUUGCCUUCUUCCUUUAGAGUCUUGGCUUUUUUAGCAGCUUCAGGUCCUGGUGCUUUGAAUAAAAAAAGUGAAAAUCAAGUGCUGAAGUGAAGCAUGAUGGCUCCGCUCAGUACGGCACAGACAUCGGAACGGAGGGAAUCGGAGGCAGUUUCUCUCUCCAAGAUGGUCCGUCUGUAUCUGUCAAAGUCUUGGUCAUUCUGAAGGCAAGGAAAGAUGUGUUAUAUGAAUUACCUGUUGACGCCAUCGUGAGCUGCCGGUAUGUUCCAGUCUAUCUGUAACACAGUUUUGUAGUCCACAUAAGCCUGUCUGUAUCUCUCCAAAGCUUCAAAAGCUGACGCCCGGCGAAGCAGAGCUUUAAAUCCAAACGGAACCAAUUCAAGAGACCUGAAAGGUAACUGGCGGCCCUGUUGGAGUACAGAAUACCCAGUUCCUCCUUGUUCUUCUGACCUGCAAACAGAUUAGUUACACUGAUGUGCUUUUAUUUACAAUAGCACCACGGCCUUAUUUACAUCUAUUAUAGUCUAAGGAACUGUUUUAAAACUAGUUGCUCUGUAACAUUCAUAUAUUCCUGUUUGGGAUGAUUGCCCUCUUGUUACUCAUUUAAAAACAUAUUAAAUAUGGAAUCUCUAUGGUAUUCUUAGGAUAUGACAGUACCAUGAUGUUAUCAUCAGAUUCCAUCACGGGUUCUGUCAGAUAAUAAAGGAUAUAAUAUUAAUGCAUGGGAUUAAUUAAUCCUAUAAAUGUGUAUAUUUUGAUUUGGAAAAUAUUUUCUAUUAUGUAAUAUGACAUUUUUGCUACUCACUACAGUGUUGUGCUA